rnacentral:lncRNA from 1 species
AAAUAUGGCCGCGCCGGUAGGGCUCGGUCUUUUAAGACUGCGUCUCUGCGGUGACUGUGGUUUGGUGAGUCGUCUUAUAUCUACCAACUCUGUUGUUCUGGGUCUGCCCUCGGCGUCCGGCACCCGGGCUCUCAGUGGAAGAGUCACGUCGGGGCCGGACCCCGCGUGGGAAGCCGGGGUUAAGUCGCCUAUUUAUGGCUUGGCCCGUUCGACAUGUGCCUCCCAAUCCAGCGAGGGCCAUCUUUUCGGAAUCCCAAAGAACUGAUCGGUGAUUGCAAGUGACUCCUUGAUUGAGGAAAGAAGAGGAUUUGCCACAACCACCUCCUGAAGGUUAACAUGUGAUUUUUGAGGCCUUUAACUAUUCAGAUUGGUAAAGCUCUGUAUUACGGGGUUAGCUGAGAAUCUUGGUGUCUAUGUUCUAUGGGAUGUGUAAGGACCUGUUUGAUCUCCCCAGGAUCAUCACUUGUGCUUGUUCAUGUCCAUAUUCACUGUAAGAUCACAUCAUAGGUUCAAGACCGCACUGGGUUACAGAAUUCAUUUGUAUUUUAAAUAAAUGUUUGUAAUAUACCUGACA